rnacentral:rRNA from 1 species
GAUGAACGCUGGCGGCGUGCCUAAUACAUGCAAGUCGAGCGAACGGACGAGAAGCUUGCUUCUCUGAUGUUAGCGGCGGACGGGUGAGUAACACGUGGAUAACCUACCUAUAAGACUGGGAUAACUUCGGGAAACCGUAGCUAAUACCGGAUAAUAUUUUGAACCGCAUGGUUCAAAAGUGAAAGACGGUCUUGCUGUCACUUAUAGAUGGAUCCGCGCUGCAUUAGCUAGUUGGUAAGGUAACGGCUUACCAAGGCAACGAUGCAUAGCCGACCUGAGAGGGUGAUCGGCCACACUGGAACUGAGACACGGUCCAGACUCCUACGGGAGGCAGCAGUAGGGAAUCUUCCGCAAUGGGCGAAAGCCUGACGGAGCAACGCCGCGUGAGUGAUGAAGGUCUUCGGAUCGUAAAACUCUGUUAUUAGGGAAGAACAUAUGUGUAAGUAACUGUGCACAUCUUGACGGUACCUAAUCAGAAAGCCACGGCUAACUACGUGCCAGCAGCCGCGGUAAUACGUAGGUGGCAAGCGUUAUCCGGAAUUAUUGGGCGUAAAGCGCGCGUAGCGGUUUUUUAGUCUGAUGUGAAAGCCCACGGCUCAACCGUGGAGGGUCAUUGGAAACUGGAAAACUUGAGUGCAGAAGAGGAAAGUGGAAUUCCAUGUGUAGCGGUGAAAUGCGCAGAGAUAUGGAGGAACACCAGUGGCGAAGGCGACUUUCUGGUCUGUAACUGACGCUGAUGUGCGAAAGCGUGGGGAUCAAACAGGAUUAGAUACCCUGGUAGUCCACGCCGUAAACGAUGAGUGCUAAGUGUUAGGGGGUUUCCGCCCCUUAGUGCUGCAGCUAACGCAUUAAGCACUCCGCCUGGGGAGUACGACCGCAAGGUUGAAACUCAAAGGAAUUGACGGGGACCCGCACAAGCGGUGGAGCAUGUGGUUUAAUUCGAAGCAACGCGAAGAACCUUACCAAAUCUUGACAUCCUUUGACAACUCUAGAGAUAGAGCCUUCCCCUUCGGGGGACAAAGUGACAGGUGGUGCAUGGUUGUCGUCAGCUCGUGUCGUGAGAUGUUGGGUUAAGUCCCGCAACGAGCGCAACCCUUAAGCUUAGUUGCCAUCAUUAAGUUGGGCACUCUAAGUUGACUGCCGGUGACAAACCGGAGGAAGGUGGGGAUGACGUCAAAUCAUCAUGCCCCUUAUGAUUUGGGCUACACACGUGCUACAAUGGACAAUACAAAGGGCAGCGAAACCGCGAGGUCAAGCAAAUCCCAUAAAGUUGUUCUCAGUUCGGAUUGUAGUCUGCAACUCGACUACAUGAAGCUGGAAUCGCUAGUAAUCGUAGAUCAGCAUGCUACGGUGAAUACGUUCCCGGGUCU